rnacentral:rRNA from 1 species
GUCGAGAAUCUUUCACAAUGGGGGCAACCCUGAUGGAGCGACGCCGCGUGAAGGAUAAGGUCUUCGGAUUGUAAACUCCUGUCAUGCGUGAACAAGGUUGCUUGGUUAAUACCUGGGCAAAUUGAUGGUAACGCAAGAGGAAGAGACGGCUAACUCUGUGCCAGCAGCCGCGGUAAUACAGAGGUCUCAAGCGUUGUUCGGAAUCACUGGGCGUAAAGGGUGCGUAGGUGGCGUGGUAAGUCAGAUGUGAAAGCCCGGGGCUCAACCUCGGAACUGCAUCCGAUACUGCCAUGCUAGAGUACUGGAGAGGUGACUAGAAUUCUCGGUGUAGCAGUGAAAUGCGUAGAUAUCGAGAGGAAUACCAAAGGCGUAGGCAGGUCACUGGACAGUUACUGACACUGAGGCACGAAGGCCAGGGGAGCGAACGGGAUUAGAUACCCUGUAGUCC